AUCUAGCUAGCUAUAUUGUCCAGAAACCCUCACAGGAAGAGCGCUGGUCGUUGAUGCCAACUUUCGUAGUGGCCAAAUGGCAGUACUACAACUUCUGGGUCCCUCACGUGAUGCCAUUGGGCCCAAAAAGACUUUUCCCCAUAGACUUACAUUGGGAAAGAGACGUAUGUAACUCAGAGGAUAAUUUUUUUUGAGGUGA